AAAUAUAGGGAUAUUGUUAGUAUUAUACUUUAUUCAUUAAUAUAUUAUGAAUAAAUUAUAGAAAAUAAAUUAUUACAUAAAAUAAAUUAUUAUAUAUAAUAAAAUAAUAUAUAUUAUUUUAAAUUAGAUUCUUACAUAAAAUAUUAUAUUAUAAAUUACUAUAUGAAAUAAUUUUAUAAAUAAUUUUAUAUAAAAUAUACUAAUAUAAAUUAAUUAUUUUAUUUUUAAAAAUAUAUUUAGACGUUGUUCUAGACUUUUUAUCCAAACGCUAUUAAGGAUAUCCUCUAGAAUAUCCUCGAAUGCAUCCAAACACAAAUUUACAAUUGUUCUAUCUUGUACCGGAAUAUUCCCUGUUCUCGGGAACAACAAAAGUUGUUCUCCAAAAUUUAGUUCUCCAACCAAACGCAGCCUUAGAGUCCACCAAAAAGAAUUUUGGAUUUUAGUAAAAGAGAAAAAUUGACAAAGCUAGAGAAAGAAUAUAGACUUUCAGCAAGUGAGUUUAUUUUUAUGGAAAGUGGAGAAAGAUUUAGCAGU
rnacentral:lncRNA from 1 species